rnacentral:rRNA from 1 species
UACGUAGGGUGCAAGCGUUGUCCGGAAUUAUUGGGCGUAAAGAGCUCGUAGGCGGUUUGUCGCGUCUGCUGUGAAAACUCGGGGCUUAACCCCGGGCCUGCAGUGGGUACGGGCAGACUAGAGUGCGGUAGGGGAGACUGGAAUUCCUGGUGUAGCGGUGAAAUGCGCAGAUAUCGAGAGGAACACCUGCGGCGAAGGCGGGUUGCUGGGCUGAUACUGACGCUGAGGCGCGAAAGCCAGGGGAGCGAACGGG